rnacentral:rRNA from 1 species
UACAGAGGGUGCGAGCGUUGUUCGGAAUUAUUGGGCGUAAAGGGCGCGUAGGCGGCGCCACAAGUCACUUGUGAAAACUCUGGGCUCAACCCAGAGCCUGCAGGCGAAACUGUGGUGCUGGAGUAUGGGAGAGGUGCGUGGAAUUCCCGGUGUAGUGGUGGAAUGCGUAGAUAUCGGGAGGAACACCAGUGGCGAAGGCGGUUGCCUGGAGCUUUGCUGACGCUGAGGCGCGAAAGCGUGGGGAGCGAUCCGG